CGGAGGAGGAGGCCCCUGCCAUGGUGUCUCAGCUCUAGGCCCUCCUGCUUGACCGUGACACCCACCCUCAAGAUCCACUCGACAGAUCACGCGGCUGGCUCUCGAGCUCUACUGCGAUCCCCGAGGAUGUGCUAAGGAUGUGAAGGUCCAUCCCCGGCCCAUGGCUGCUGCCAGAUUAGGCUGGUUGAGCGGUUCUUUCAGUGCGGGCUGAUCUGCAGGCUCGACUUUUUGUUUUGGAGGUUGCUGCUCGUCGUUGGUUAUAUGGGGAGGCGUUUUGGUGGUCCAAGUUUCCUAGGCAGUGCUUUUGCUGGCAGGGAAAGUUCAGAGGAAUAUGCUUUGAGAGGUGUCAUAAUAUGAAAGGAAACAAUUAGUUCUGCCCAAGGGUGUUUCUUUGUACCGGGGCAUUGUCUCCAUAUGCUAGAUGAAAUCCAUGCCUCCCACAGUUAUUGAAGGUGUGUUGCUUCCAUUUGCAAGUUGCAUCAGCAAGAAUUGUUGGGCUUAAAAAUCCAGGAUGGUGUUGUUAAUGCAACAUCUCUGUUUGAAGAGUUGGUGACUGUAGUUUUUGGAAACUAUAGUGAUGGGCUAAUCUACCAGACUGUGGAGCUGCCUCAGAAUGGCGAGUUUUCUUGUGCCAAUGAAACUGGUUCCCAUAGAUCGUAAAGGAUGCUUCUAUUAUGUUUAUUUGGCUUCAACAUUACCUAUAGCAAGAUGCAUUUUUUCGCUUGUUUUUUUUUCCUGCAAGACCUUAUUCCUUGCACUCUUGAGUCUUUUGAGAAGGAGAAAAUUAUUGUUGGGAGGGAAAAAGACUGAUCAUGAGUUCCUGAAACAGAGUGCAACAGUGAAGAACAAGAGGCUUUUUUGUUGAUGAGUCGGCCUAAAUAUAUUUUAGAUGAUUGCCAAAAAGUUGUUAUUGAAGGAUUGGAGUCAAGCUUAGGAUCAGUUUAUCCUAUGGGUCUGUACUACAAGGUUGAGUGCGUCAACCGACAACGCAGAAAUCAGGUUUAUAGACGAGUGCUUUAUGCCGGGGUGGACGAG